rnacentral:rRNA from 1 species
AGAGUUUGAUCCUGGCUCAGGACGAACGCUGGCGGCGUGCUUAACACAUGCAAGUCGAACGGAAAGUGCUCUUCGGAGUGACUCGAGUGGCGAACGGGUGAGUAACACGUGGGUGAUCUGCCCUGCACUUUGGGAUAAGCCUGGGAAACUGGGUCUAAUACCGAAUACACCCUGCUGGUCGCAUGGCCUGGUGGGGGAAAGCUUUUGCGGUGUGGGAUGGGCCCGCGGCCUAUCAGCUUGUUGGUGGGGUGAUGGCCUACCAAGGCGACGACGGGUAGCCGGCCUGAGAGGGUGUCCGGCCACACUGGGACUGAGAUACGGCCCAGACUCCUACGGGAGGCAGCAGUGGGGAAUAUUGCACAAUGGGCGCAAGCCUGAUGCAGCGACGCCGCGUGAGGGAUGACGGCCUUCGGGUUGUAAACCUCUUUCAAUAGGGACGAAGCGUGAGUGACGGUACCUAUAGAAGAAGCACCGGCCAACUACGUGCCAGCAGCCGCGGUAAUACGUAGGGGCGAGCGUUGUCCGGAAUUACUGGGCGUAAAGAGCUCGUAGGUGGUUUGUCGCGUUGUUCGUGAAAACUCACAGCUUAACUGUGGGCGUGCGGGCGAUACGGGCAGACUGGAGUACUGCAGGGGAGACUGGAAUUCCUGGUGUAGCGGUGGAAUGCGCGAUAUCAGGAGGAACACCGGUGGCGAAGGCGGGUCUCUGGGCAGUAACUGACGCUGAGGAGCGAAAGCGUGGGGAGCGAACAGGAUUAGAUACCCUAGUAGUCC